UUGACCUCAAUCAGGUAGGACUACCCGCUGAACUA
rnacentral:rRNA from 2 species